GUGAGUUCGGUUAAGUCGUAGUCCAUUAGAGUCUUUGUUUUAGUUGCUGAUCAUUUAUCCUUCGCGUGUUCUUUGUGCCUCUUUUAUAUCUAAAAAUCCCCACAAAAAAAUCUAUAUAGCCUAUAUCAACCUUUGUGUUAUCUUUGAUCCUAUCAAAUUAUAGUUUCUGGUUGUACUUUGUUUCUAUCAUCAAGUUUGCAAGUAUUAUAUCUGAUCAUUAUGUUUAGUUAUAAAAAAGUGUGUCAAAAAAAAGGAGAAGAAAGAAAAGAGAAAAAAAAUUCAGAAAGAAAGUUGCAAGAUCAGGUUAUGUCAAGUGCAUCAUUGCUGAAAGUUUUUGUAUUGAGUUGAACAACCAGUUUGCUAUCUUUGUUUGGUGCAAUAUUUUGGUUGGGUCUGAUUGCAACACUUGCAUCCCA
rnacentral:lncRNA from 1 species